rnacentral:rRNA from 1 species
CCUACGGGUGGCAGCAGUAGGGAAUCUUCCACAAUGGGCGAAAGCCUGAUGGAGCAACGCCGCGUGGGUGAAGAAGGUCUUCGGAUCGUAAAACCCUGUUGUUAGAGAAGAAAGUGCGUGAGAGUAACUGUUCACGUUUCGAUGGUAUCCAACCAGAAAGCCACGGCUAACUACGUGCCAGCAGCCGCGGUAAUACGUAGGUGGCAAGCGUUAUCCGGAUUUAUUGGGCGUAAAGGGAACGCAGGCGGUCUUUUAAGUCUGAUGUGAAAGCGUUCGGCUUAACCGGAGUAGGGCAUUGGAAACUGGGGGACGUGAGAGCAGAAGAGGAGAGUGGAACUCCAUGUGUAGCGGUGAAAUGCGUAGAUAUAUGGAAGAACACCAGUGGCGAAGGCGGCUGUCUGGUCUGUAACUGACGCUGAGGUUCGAAAGCGUGGGUAGCAAACAGGAUUAGAUACCCCUGUAGUC